GGGCGUGUGGCUCAGUUGGUAGAGCGUUCGCUUAGCAUAUUUUGACUGUAUGCGAAAGGUCCUGGGUUCGAUUCCCAGCUCGUCCA